GGCCCAGAUCGUUUACCGUGAAAAAAUUAGAGUGUUCAAAGCAGGCAGAUCCAAUUUUCUGCCACCGAAUACAUUAGCAUGGGAUAAUGGAAUAGGACCCUGUCCUCCUAUUUUCAGUUGGUUUUGGCAGCGCGAGGACUAGGGUAAUGAUUAAUAGGGAUAGUUGGGGGCAUUAAUAUUUAAUUGUCAGAGGUGAAAUUCUUGGAUUUAUGAAAGAUUAACUUCUGCGAAAGCAUCUGCCAAGGAUGUUUUCAUUAAUCAAGAACGAAAGUUAGGGGAUCGAAGACGAUCAGAUACCGUCGUAGUCUUAACCAUAAACGAUGCCGACCAGCGAUUAGGAGACGUUGAAUACAAAACACCACCAUCGGCGCGGUCGUCCUUGGCGUCUCGGUUUCGGCCGGGGCGCGGGGAUGGCUUAGCCCGGUGGCACCGGUGAAUGACUCCCCUAGCAGCUUGUGAGA
rnacentral:rRNA from 1 species